CAUAAUAGCAUUGUGAGACUGAACAAUAGGACCCAACGUAUUGUUCAGUCUCACAAUGCUAUUGGGUGGUACAUUUGUUUAGUCCCUCCUUAUGGCCAUGAACUCACACAACCUCACAAGGUUUCCUUCAAACAAUAUCUCUUUGUUUUAUUGGACUGUAUUCAUCAGAUUCAAAAUGCCACCAGCAAGGACAGAGCCGCGAUACAGUGUACAGGAUGUGAUUGAUAUUAUCCAAACUGGAGAGAGUGAAGUUGAGAUGGAUCUCGAUGACUCUGAUGAGACUGAUAAAGACUCAGAUGAAGAUGUCUGUCAACAAGUGGACAAAGAAAACUGUCUGGAUAUCACAGGAGAUGACAUUUCCCUCCACACACUAUUGGAAUACUUCCAGAAGUUUGUGUCCAGGACAUGAUUGAGGCUCUGACACAAAACACAAAUGAGUACAGCUUUCAGACACAUGGAACAUCUGUAAACACCACUGCGAAGGAAACUGAAAAAAUGUUUGGCAUGUACCUGAAGAUGGGCCUGGUACAAAUGGCUGGAACCCGUAUGUAUUGGGAGACAGAGACACGGUACUCCCCUGUUGACGUCAUUACAUUUUGUAAACAACAUGACAGUAUCUGAGAUGGAAAAGAAAGACAAACUAUGGAAACUCAGACCAUGGUUUGAUUCAUUCAGAGAGAAAUGCCUGCAGUUGGUACCAGAAGAGCAUGAUGAUUCCUUUCAAGGGGAAAGCCAAAUAUAAGUUCCCCAUCAAAUCCUGUCUCUGGUACAUGUACAUCUUAUAAACACUUAAAAAUAAAAAAACACACACUUUAAUUUCUGCAUCAAAGGCCUCCUACAAUAACAUCUGAAAGAUAAAAUCAUUUUUUCUUCUGGGUUUUUCUCUAUUUGGGUUAAACAGGGUUAAAAUCUUUAUACAUUUUAUAAUAAAAAUAUUAUAAACUGAUUUAAUCUCUUUAGUGUUGAUCGUGGUUCUCGUCCUCCUUCACUGUACGACACCCAGGUCUUCCUCAGCUCCGACCCCGAUAACUUUAAUGGAUGUGUUCACUCGUCGACUGUCUCAAGGACGUAAACUGACGAUACAACUGAUAUAAAAACAGCAUCAAGGACUUUAACAGGUAUCAGAAAACAAGAACACACAGCACUGAUGUUAGUGUGAGAGUGGAUUUAAAGUUUAAUUAUCACUUUUAAGAACUGGAAUGAGUUACAGUUUAUCUCCGACCUCUUAUGUGACCCCGAGGUCCUCAAAUGCUGCGUUCAGGUUCCCAAAACCAGAGUUAUAAUCAGAGGAGAUCAGGAAGGAAAAUUCACUUCAUUAAAACAACACUUUUAUAACAA